GACGAACGCUGGCGGCGUGCUUAACACAUGCAAGUCGAACGGAAAGGCCCUGCUUUUGUGGGGUGCUCGAGUGGCGAACGGGUGAGUAACACGUGAGUAACCUGCCCUUGACUUUGGGAUAACUUCAGGAAACUGGGGCUAAUACCGGAUAGGAGCUCCUGCUGCAUGGUGGGGGUUGGAAAGUUUCGGCGGUUGGGGAUGGACUCGCGGCUUAUCAGCUUGUUGGUGGGGUAGUGGCUUACCAAGGCUUUGACGGGUAGCCGGCCUGAGAGGGUGACCGGCCACAUUGGGACUGAGAUACGGCCCAGACUCCUACGGGAGGCAGCAGUGGGGAAUAUUGCACAAUGGGCGGAAGCCUGAUGCAGCAACGCCGCGUGCGGGAUGACGGCCUUCGGGUUGUAAACCGCUUUCGCCUGUGACGAAGCGUGAGUGACGGUAAUGGGUAAAGAAGCACCGGCUAACUACGUGCCAGCAGCCGCGGUGAUACGUAGGGUGCGAGCGUUGUCCGGAUUUAUUGGGCGUAAAGGGCUCGUAGGUGGUUGAUCGCGUCGGAAGUGUAAUCUUGGGGCUUAACCCUGAGCGUGCUUUCGAUACGGGUUGACUUGAGGAAGGUAGGGGAGAAUGGAAUUCCUGGUGGAGCGGUGGAAUGCGCAGAUAUCAGGAGGAACACCAGUGGCGAAGGCGGUUCUCUGGGCCUUUCCUGACGCUGAGGAGCGAAAGCGUGGGGAGCGAACAGGCUUAGAUACCCUGGUAGUCCACGCUGUAAACGGUGGGUACUAGGUGUGGGGUCCAUUCCACGGGUUCCGUGCCGUAGCUAACGCUUUAAGUACCCCGCCUGGGGAGUACGGCCGCAAGGCUAAAACUCAAAGGAAUUGACGGGGCCCCGCACAAGCGGCGGAGCAUGCGGAUUAAUUCGAUGCAACGCGUAGAACCUUACCUGGGUUUGACAUGGAUCGGGAGCGCUCAGAGAUGGGUGUGCCUCUUUUGGGGUCGGUUCACAGGUGGUGCAUGGCUGUCGUCAGCUCGUGUCGUGAGAUGUUGGGUUAAGUCCCGCAACGAGCGCAACCCUUGUUCACUGUUGCCAGCACGUUAUGGUGGGGACUCAGUGGAGACCGCCGGGGUCAACCCGGAGGAAGGUGGGGAUGACGUCAAGUCAUCAUGCCCCUUAUGUCCAGGGCUUCACGCAUGCUACAAUGGCUGGUACAGAGAGUGGCGAGCCUGUGAGGGUGAGCGAAUCUCGGAAAGCCGGUCUCAGUUCGGAUUGGGGUCUGCAACUCGACCUCAUGAAGUCGGAGUCGCUAGUAAUCGCAGAUCAGCAACGCUGCGGUGAAUACGUUCCCGGG
rnacentral:rRNA from 1 species